rnacentral:rRNA from 1 species
GAUCCUGGCUUAGGAUGAACGCUAGCUACAGGCUUAACACAUGCAAGUCGAGGGGCAGCAUGAGAUUAGCUUGCUAAUCUGAUGGCGACCGGCGCACGGGUGCGUAACACGUAUCCAAUCUACCCAUGGCUCGGGGAUAGCCUUUCGAAAGAAAGAUUAAUACCCGAUGGUCUGCGAUUGAGACAUCUCGAUUGCAGUAAAGACUUGUCGGCGAUGGAUGGGGAUGCGUCCGAUUAGCUAGUUGGCGGGGUAACGGCCCACCAAGGCGACGAUCGGUAGGGGUUCUGAGAGGAAGGUCCCCCCACACUGGAACUGAGACACGGUCCAGACUCCUACGGGAGGCAGCAGUGAGGAAUAUUGGUCAAUGGGCGAUGGCCCGAACCAGCCAAGUAGCGUGAGGGACGACGGCCCUACGGGUUGUAAACCUCUUUUGUAUGGGAAUAAAGUGCGCCACGCGUGGCGUUUUGUAUGUACCUUACGAAUAAGCAUCGGCUAAUUCCGUGCCAGCAGCCGC